rnacentral:rRNA from 1 species
GGGUCAGAACGAACGCUGGCUUCGCGCUUAACACAUGCAAGUCGAGUGCCCCGGGGCAACUCGGGGAGCGGCUAGUUGUUGCCGUAAACGUGGGUAAUCGACCCCCGACACCGGGAUAGCCCAGGGGAAACAUUGGAUUAAUACCGGAUGCCCCAUCUGGCUUUCGAGCCGGCUGGAAAAGGGUAGCUUCUGCCUCCGGUAGGGGACGAGCCCUCGGCGGAUUAACUUGUUGGUGAUGUAAAGGCUCAACUCGCCACGAUUCGUAGCUGGUCUGAUAGGACGAUCAUCCACACUGGGACUGACACACGGCCCAGACUCCUACGGGAGGCAGCAGUGGGA